rnacentral:rRNA from 1 species
GAUGAACGCUGGCGGCGUGCCUAAUACAUGCAAGUCGAGCGAACAGACGAGGAGCUUGCUCCUCUGACGUUAGCGGCGGACGGGUGAGUAACACGUGGAUAACCUACCUAUAAGACUGGGAUAACUUCGGGAAACCGGAGCUAAUACCGGAUAAUAUAUCGAACCGCAUGGUUCAAUAGUGAAAGACGGUUUUGCUGUCACUUAUAGAUGGAUCCGCGCCGCAUUAGCUAGUUGGUAAGGUAACGGCUUACCAAGGCAACGAUGCGUAUCCGACACGGGAGGGUGAACCGCCCACCCGGAAAAGGAGCACCGGCCCAGACCCCACGGGGGGGGCGAAGUAGGGAACUUCCCGCAAGGGGGGAAAGUUUACCGGACAAAGCCGGGGGGAGUAAGAAAGGCUUUGGGAUUAAAAACCCCUUUUAUUGGGAAAAAAAAAAUGUGUAAGUAACUAUGCCCGUCUUGACGGUACCAAAUAAGAAAGCCCCGGCUACCUACGG